CACAAAUAAACCAGCACUAGUACCAUUUUAACUUGGCUCAUAGACGGUUGUGCUUAACGGUGUCUCGAAAAACGAACAGCGAAGAAGUAAAGCGAACUUCGGCAAAUUUCGUAUAGUUACAGUGUUUGUUGUGUUUUAGGUGGUAAACAAACGUGAGCCGUACAACAUUCAUAAGAUCCAAUAACCAUUGGUUUUACAUCAACGGCAAGGAGUUAUAAACAUACUAGUGCUGGUUUAUUUUUGUUAUUGUAAGCCUUUCUAAAGAGAGCAAGAGAUUGGUAGGCAUUUGAGAGAAUAAAUUUGUGUGUGUGCUUGUGAAGCGGUACUAGCAAAUCAACGAACAAAGUAGUCUCUUACAAAUGCAUAGUGAACGUCCGUUAAGAAGUCAAGUUGGAGAUUUCUUUUUGUUUUGAUUUCAAACGUUGUGACGUUAGUCGAGUAAGCCCGACUCGAUUUAUUUGUGGUUUCCUUGGCUGAAUUGAAUGAAUGCAGCCAAUGCUGUUGACAUUUUACUUGCUUCACAUUUAACAUUGUCGUCGUCGUCGUCGUCGUCGUCUAAAAGCAUGAAGAAGUAGUGGCUUAGUAGUCUAUUGCAGUCAACCCCCCUCUCUCUCACUCUCUGUCUAGUUGUGAGAAGCUCACACAACUUUUGCUACGUCGCAGUCGCAGUACCUGGUAAUGUGAGAAGUAUUUGUGGUGUGGUCACACGAUUUUCAAAACAUCAGCGCGUCAUUAAAAGCCAGCAUAACAACAAAGCGGGCCUGCAGCUAACAACAAACAAAUAACCAAACUAAGCAGUCAACUCAACCAUUUUAGCUAGCCAGCCAACUAAAUUGCAGCAGAACAUGAUAAUAAACGGCUGCAAAAUAACCACAACAAAAUUUAACGAAAGCCAGCCAUAGGCAAUAAGAAAGAAAAAAACUGCAUCGUACGAAAAACGGAAAAAAAUAAAACAAAAGUUUGGUGCAGCAGCAAUAGCGAGCAGUGUAUCUGCGCAUGCGUGUCAGUCCUCAUAUGAUCGGUCGUUUGUGUGUUUAUGAACUGCAGUGAAGGCUGGAAAGUUGCAGUAGCUUUUGUUUACUUGUGUAUAGUGUGUGUGUGUGUGAGUGUGAGUGUUUUACAGAGGUUUGACUAAAAUAAGCGACGUUUUUCUUUUUGGGCUUUAAAGAAAAAAAACAACCAAGUUGCGCCACCGCUGAAGUAGAAAGUUGUCUUAAAAAAAAAACAUCUUUACACCGCCUACCGAUCCCGUUGAUGCAUUGCUGCAACUCAAGGCGGAAAUUCUGGCGCGAGAAAACUUUGGAAAGACUCCAGAAACCAAAAACAAAACAAAUAAAAAGAAAAGUUAAACAAAUAUAAAGAAAGUUUAAAUAAAUAUCACAAGAAAAUAAAAAAACCUAUUUAUUGAAAAAAAGUUACCAAUGUUUAUAAUAAUUUUCUCUUACCUUAAGAAGGCCCUUGACGAAAGCUAAAAGAAAAGAAAGAAAACAAAAACAAAAGAACAACAUUGAAUUUCUAGUUUUGCAUUCUUCAGCGCAUUUUCAAGAUCACUGGCUGCAAAAAAGUGAAAAAGUUAAAAUAAAACCAAAAAAAAAAACAAAUUACUUAUAGUGGUGACCUGUUUAAAAAUUAACUUUUUUGUAAUUUAAAAUUUAAUGCUCAACUAUUUAUUGGAAUGACUCAACCACCCAACAUGUCGGAUAUAUACUACUGCAGCAAG
rnacentral:sRNA from 1 species